rnacentral:sRNA from 12 species
UGACCGCUUCGUAAUUUUAUGCGAAGCCGAGGCCAUACGGACAGCCGGGUCAACUGCCGA